rnacentral:rRNA from 1 species
CAGCCGCCGCGGUAAUACGGAGGGUGCAAGCGUUAAUCGGAAUUACUGGGCGUAAAGCGCACGCAGGCGGUUUGUUAAGUCAGAUGUGAAAUCCCCGAGCUUAACUUGGGAACUGCAUUUGAAACUGGCAAGCUAGAGUCUUGUAGAGGGGGGUAGAAUUCCAGGUGUAGCUGUGAAAUGCGUAGAGAUCUGGAGGAAUACCGGUGGCGAAGGCGACCCCCUGGACAAAGACUGACGCUCAGGUGCGAAAGCGUGGGGAGCAAACAGGAUUAGAUACCCGGGUAGUCCCUGUCUCUUAUCC